rnacentral:lncRNA from 1 species
UGGAAACAGAAGCUAUAUGAAUAUGACUCAGCAGAGAAUGAAUGUCUUUGACGAACAGGAAACGAUUUGCAAAGCUAGCUGGAUGCACUCCAGAAGACCAAAGUGGUGUGGUUAUGGAAACCACCAGAAAUGCAGAACGUGCUCACAAGUAUCUCUUGGGUCUUGAAAAAAAUGCCCAGCCCUUAUCCCCAGUGAAGGAUACUGGUAACACAGAGCCCCAGCCAGCAGCUGUUGUGGCGAC